AAGAGUAUACAAAAAAACAGAGAAAAGGUUGCGCCAAGAGAAAUAAAUAAAUAUUAUACAAACAUUUUAUUUGGCGCAGCCUUUUCUCUGUUUUUUUGUACCUUCUC
rnacentral:miRNA from 1 species